GGGAUUUGAGAGCGCGCGCCCGACGUAGGUGGGGUCAGUCAGAACGCCUUACUCCCUAACUGCAGUUCCAAAGAGACGCGUUUUGAGAGGGAUGAUUUUGGGUCGGUCUUUUUCUUGUAAAGAAGUGCUCUCGGGAAACGUUGGUGUGGACAUUUUGGCGUAUAUUUACGAUGUCUUACUAUCCAAGCCCGGAAUGUCCCACCCUAGGGCGUCGGCAGGUCCACCAUCUCUGGCGUUACUAGAACAACUCGCCCUUAUUGACUACGAGAUCUUUAAUUGAGAUCCCUAGAUACGAUCCUGCCGGCCAGAGGGUGGGGUCCUUGAGAUAUACCCGGGGAGUGUGCCAAUUCCAUGGAGUAAUGAUGGAUUUAUUGCUGGAGCUGAGCCAGUAUAAGGCCUCCGGUUACUUUUUCUCCGCACAUGUCUGUCGCUGCCGACACGAUGUGAGAGAAGUUCUUACUGCCCAAGAUGUGCGUCAGCUAAAUGACGAAGUCUUGCUCUGUCGCCCAGCCUGGAGCACUGUGGCGCAAUCUCGGCUCACUGCAACCUCUGCGUCCUGGAUUGAAGCAAUUAUCCUGCCUCAGCCUCCCUGGUAGCUGGGACUACAGUCGCGUGCCACCAUGCCCAGCCAGUUUCAGCUACUUUUAACAGAUAUCUCUGCUGACUUCAUAAAGUCUCAAGUUAAAGAAUUUUCCAUACAUCACACACUGUUAUGGGUGCAUUGCCUGCUGACCACAGUCAAGAUCCUGAUGCCUAAAGUGAACAAAGCUACCUAAGCAGCAUCUCUUAUUGCAGUGGUUUUCAAACUAUACACUCAACUGGAGAGCCUGUUAGAAUACACAUUCUGGGACUUCACUCCAGAUCUGUUGAAUUCUGAUCUCUGGGAGAUCCCCAAAAUCAGCAUUUAUUUAUUUAUUUAUUUAUUUAUUUAGAGAUGGAGUCUUGCUCUGUCGCCCAGGCUGGAGUGCAGUGGCACGAUCUUGGCUCACUGCAAGCUCUGCCUCCUGGGUUUAUGCCAUUCUCCUGCCUCGGCCUCCUGAGUAGCUGGGACUACAGGCGCCUGCCACCACACCUGGAUAAUUUUUUGUAUUUUUAGUGGAGACGGGGUUUCACCAUGUUAGCCAGGAUGGUCUCGAUCUCCUGACCUUGUGAUCCACCUGCCUCGGCCUCCCAAAGUGCUGGGAUUACAGGUGUGAGCCACUGCGCCCGGCCAAAAUCAGCAUUUUAAGAAGCUUCCCCAAAAUGACUGAUGCAGGUGGUCCUUAGGUAACCCUUUAGACAAUGUUUAUCUGAGGGAGCAAUGCAUUAUAUUUUUGUGUUGUGAAGACUUGUCAUUUCAUUGUCAGGUUGAGGAUUCUAGCCAUAAAUACUCGGAGACGUCUAUGGACAAAUGCCUGCCUUCCUCCAAGUGACUGUGAAAUUUGGAGAGGAGAGUUCAGAAAAUGGGAGUGUUAAAAUAUAAACGAUCUCACUCUGUCACCCAGGCUGGAGUGCGGUGGUGUGAUCUCUGCUCCCUGCAGCCUCGACCUCCUGGGCUGAAGUGAUCCUCCCACCUCAGCCUCCCGAGUAGCUGAGACUACAGGCACACACCCUAUGCCCAGCUGAUUUGUCAUAUUUUCUGCAGAGUCAGGGUUUCACCAUGUUGCCCAGGCUGGUCUCAAACUCCUGAGCUCAAGAGAUCCAUCCGUCUCAGCCUCCCAAAGUGUUGGGAUUACAGGCAUGAGCCACUGUGUAGAGUGUCGGAAGAAAAUUGAUAGUCUUCCUCCAGUCACAUUCCCCGACAAGAGAUAACCAUAAUGAAUAGUAUAGUGAGUUUCCUUCAAAAUAUUUUUCUUUUAUAUACAUAUAUAUGUAUACAUACAAAUGCACAUAUAUUUAUAUAGAUAUUUUUUCAUAAAAGCAUACUAUAUUAAUCUGCAUGUUGCUUUUAAAAAAUGUAACAAUAAACCAGAGGCAUCUUUC
rnacentral:lncRNA from 1 species